GCUGGGUGUGCUGGUGCAUGCCUGUGAUCCCUGCUACUCGGGAGGCUGAGGUGGGAGGAUCACUUGAGCCCUGGAGGUUGAGGGUGCAGUGAGCGGUGAUACUACUGCACUCCAGCCUGGGCAACAGAGUGAGACCCCAUCUCAA
ensembl:misc_RNA Metazoa_SRP Metazoan signal recognition particle RNA